UGAAUGAAUUUGAAUCUGAAAAUUGGUCAACUAUCUCAUGCUAGAUAGUCAUGUGAACUGUUGGUUUCUGUUUGAAGUGAAAAAAAAAAAAAAAAUUUCGGGUGAAGUAAUCAUAAUCGAAAUCGAUUAGAUUCGGAUUCAUACAAUUCUAAUAGGUCUCAUGUUGAUCAGAAAAUUCAUAAUAAGCCCAUUCAUAAAUGUGAAUUAAUAGGCGUCAUAAAAGUCCUUUAAAAUUUUAAACCUAUACAAUAAUUCGGGCCUCAUCUCAGCCCAAUGAAUAUUUGUGCCCAAGAAGUUUCAUCAAAAUGGGCCCAAUUUCAGCCCAAUUCAUGAGAUCACGGCCCAUAUUUUCACCCACGUUUGAAAAUUCAAUUUCGAAUAUCAUAUUCAAAUUCAAUUUUAAAUUUUUAAACUCCCAACCAACUAGAAAAUAUUUGUUAUUCUAACAACCCUAUUCGAAAUUCGAUUUUAAAUUUCGAACAAACCCCCAAAAUAUUUUCCAACCAACCACAACAACACCUUCAAAAUUCGAUUUCGAAUUUCGAAUUCCCAACCAACCCCAAAAUAUCCUCCAACUAUCCAACAACCGAUUCAAAAUUCGAUUUUGAAUUUCGAAUCCCCAACAAAUUUCCAAAAUAUCCUCCAACCAUAUAACAACUGAUUCAAAAUUCGAUUUCGAAUUUUGAAUUCUCAACCAACCCUCAAAAUAUCUUCCAACCAACCACAACAACCCAUUCAAAAUUCGAUUUCGAAUUCCGAAUUCCCAACCAACCCUGAAAUAUCUUUCAACCAACCACAACAACCUAUUCAAAAUUCAAAUUCGAAUUUCGAAUCUUUAACUGACUCCUCAAAAUAUCUCUUGCCACCCUUCCCAUUAUAAAUAGGAGAAUCGAAAUCAAACGUCGGACGAUAGACGGAGGAGAGAAAAAAAGAUAUAGAAAAAGACGACAGAGAGAUUACGAUAAAAAAAAGGGAGAGAUAAUAAUAUU
rnacentral:lncRNA from 1 species